rnacentral:rRNA from 1 species
AACGAACGCUGGCGGCAGGCUUAACACAUGCAAGUCGAACGGACGUAGCAAUACGUUAGUGGCAGACGGGUGAGUAACGCGUGGGAAUGUGCCCUUUAGUUCGGAAUAACACAGAGAAAUUUGUGCUAAUACCGGAUAAUCCCGAGAGGGGAAAGAUUUAUCGCUGAAGGAGCAGCCCGCGUCUGAUUAGCUUGUUGGUGAGGUAAUGGCUCACCAAGGCGACGAUCAGUAGCUGGUCUGAGAGGAUGAUCAGCCACACUGGGACUGAGACACGGCCCAGACUCCUACGGGAGGCAGCAGUGGGGAAUAUUGGACAAUGGGGGCAACCCUGAUCCAGCCAUGCCGCGUGAGUGAUGAAGGCCUUAGGGUUGUAAAGCUCUUUUGUCCGGGAAGAUAAUGACUGUACCGGAAGAAUAAGCCCCGGCUAACUUCGUGCCAGCCGCCGCGGUAACAC